rnacentral:rRNA from 1 species
GCACAAGCGGUGGAGCAUGUGGUUUAAUUCGAAGCAACGCGAAGAACCUUACCAGGUCUUGACAUCCCUGACAACCCGAGAGAUCGGGCGUUCCCCUUCGGGGGACAGGGUGACAGGUGGUGCAUGGUUGUCGUCAGCUCGUGUCGUGAGAUGUUGGGUUAAGUCCCGCAACGAGCGCAACCCUCGACCUUAGUUGCCAGCAUUCAGUUGGGCACUCUAAGGUGACUGCCGGCUAAAAGUCGGAGGAAGUGGGGAUGACGUCAAAUCAUCAUGCCCCUUAUGACCUGGGCUACACACGUGCUACAAUGGGCGGUACAAAGGGUCGCGAACCCGCGAGGGGGAGCCAAUCCCAAAAAGCCGCUCUCAGUUCGGAUUGCAGGCUGCAACUCGCCUGCAUGAAGCCGGAAUCGCUAGUAAUCGCGGAUCAGCUACGCCGCGGUGAAUACGUUCUCGGGCCUU